UACGAAGGGGGCUAGCGUUGCUCGGAAUCACUGGGCGUAAAGGGUGCGUAGGCGGGUCUUUAAGUCAGGGGUGAAAUCCUGGAGCUCAACUCCAGAACUGCCUUUGAUACUGAGGAUCUUGAGUUCGGGAGAGGUGAGUGGAACUGCGAGUGUAGAGGUGAAAUUCGUAGAUAUUCGCAAGAACACCAGUGGCGAAGGCGGCUCACUGGCCCGAGUACUGACGCUGAGGCACGAAAGCGUGGGGAGCAACAGGGAU
rnacentral:rRNA from 1 species